rnacentral:lncRNA from 1 species
UGUAGAUGUGGUGUGUGUAUUAGCAGAGGCACUCAGAUCUGAAUCACCAGAAAAACACAGUGGGAUUAUGCAGAUUUCUCAAUUUGCAGACAUUAGUGAGGAUAAAAAGAGGAGAUGUGCUAAACCAGCUCAACUGCUUUUGACCCACCUCAAAAAUCAAAACCCUUCCAGCAUCUAGCUGACUAGCUCUGCAAUUUCCAGUUUUUAAGAUAUUGUGCUAUAUUCAUCUCCACUUAGUAAUAUUUGUUCUCUUUUGUUUUGUUGAUGUUGCUUUCGUUUGCAUGAUGUACUUAUUUAUAUAUGUGGAUAAACUCUUAUACAAAAUUCCCCUAUUUGUGUCAUAGGACAAAUCUUUAUUCUCUUUUUUCCUUCCUACAUAUGUAUUGUAUAUGAAUGACAUUGCAAAAGUUGAUUAUAUUUUCCAAAGUCGAUGCUUUAAUAGGAAGAAACAAAAACAAGAUAUCAUAUUACCAAUGGAAAAUACACUUCUCUUUUAUGCAUAUAACCAUUGAUCGAAAGACUAUCAGCCACGAAUUUCUGAAAUGAAGAAAUCAUGCAGAUCAUCGUCAUUAGCUGAAACAUUAUAAUCAUCCUCAUAGUUGGGUGUUGAUGGCAAGCUUUUAAUAAUGCCGCAUGCAAUAUUGGCCCAUGAAGAAUUAUUUUGUUCCUGAUUGCUUGGUAUCCUUCCUCUGCUAAUCUGCUAUUACAUCAUUCAAUGGUUAUAUGAACUAACGAAUAAAAACAACUAAAAGAACGUUUAAAAGCUAAAAGAACCUACACUACUAGAAAACAUAGCAAUAGUGACGGAAAAAAUCCGUCGGAAAAGAUCACUGGUUUCCGAUGAUUUCUGACAUAAGAGUUAAUAGGAUAUUAGCGACGUUUUGCGACGGUUUAGCAACAGAAUAAAAUCUGUCGGUAAUUCGUUACAACUUCCGACAGUUUACCGACAGAAAUCAACAAGUUUAAAAUUUUGUCGGUAAUCGGUUGGCAAAAUUAAAUUUUUAUUUUUUAAUUCUAAGGGCAAUUCGGUUAAUUCAACUAAGGGGUAUUUCCGAGGGAUGAGUCGUGCUGCAUCAUAUCGACUUAACCUAAAUCAAUCUCCCCAGAACUGUGAACGAAGGCGUCAACGCUCCGACUAGAGUUCUUUGAGUAGUGUUUAAUUCUCUUUGCCACUACAAGAAAAAUAGCCUUUUACGACGCGCAAACCACGACACUCAUUGAUUUAUGUUACGCAAUGGAGAGUGACGUUAAAAAAGCGUCAUCUCUUCAAAAAAUUUAAGGAUUUAGGUCACGCAUUAUUGCGUGCCCUUAAAUUAGCGUCAUACGAGAAAAAAUUAAAAACACGGAGGGCACUGUAUCUUAAAUGAGCGUCCUCUAUGAGUGUCACUUUAUAAUUUUAAUGAAAAGCGCGUUUAGUAGAUAGGGGGAAAAUGAAAUCCCUAAAAUUUUGAACACCCGCCUUCUUUUUUAUCCUCCACUUUUGUUUCCUUCUUGCCCUAAUUACGAUCCUUUCUUCCCCCUCCAUAGAUUCGACUGCUGCCUUACCUAGUUAUCGACACUCCUUCCUUCGUUCGUCACUUGCCUUCUUCGCCUGACAAUAUCUCAAGAAGUACAACUCCGAAAGCGUACAAGCUGCUAUCGGUUUCGCCAUAGAGUUCCGCCGUUCCAAAAUCGCAUAUUUUCGCGUUGAGUGACUAUGAUUGGGUUACAAUUAUGCUUGAGCCGACGAUUGGGUUACAAUUAUGCUUGAAAGUGUGAAGAACUUACAUGCUCCAUCUACUUAUAUCCUAGAGCCGACGAUUUAGGACCUUACCGCUUCUCAUCCCACACAGCGCCGACGAUUUAGGGCCUUACAAGCCCUAGCUCGGAUUGAACUAAGAAUUUAGCGAGAGAAAUCAAGAUUUUUGGUCAUCAUCAUCACGUUUGCAUUAGCAUCCAUAGGCUACAGAUCUCAAAUUCCUCUUCAGAUCCUCGUAAUUAACCUUUCCCAAGAUCUCGAUUUGAUCAAACAUACAUAUAAUUGCAGUCACCGGUCUACAACCUGGUUAUAUAGUUCAUUUUUGCACUAAACAUCUCAGGAUCUGAUCGAGCUCUCUCGCGGUUUCGUUCCCUUUCAAGAAAUCUCUUCCCCUCUCCCUCUCUCAUAAACCCACCAAUUUCUCGUUGAAAGCGCGCGGCCUUUGAAUCAGGCAUCUAUUUUGAAAUUUUUGUUCGAGGAAGAAAGGGCUCGCCUUCUUACCCAGGUCUAUUUUCCUUCAUCUUUUAUUUCAACGAUUGCUCUGUUUCAUCUUUCUUGGUUAGAUCAUGUCGACUAUGCAUAUGGGUGGGUUAUUACACUUUAAUGCUCCUUUGAAAUCAGUUAGGGUUACAUAUGAAAAGAAAGAAAACCCUAAUCUGAAAGAGCUUUUAGGGUUCUUACAGACCUUCUUCAAGUACCUUCAACAUGGUUACGUAGCUGUAGAUUACUCACUCUUUUCUUCUCUUAUCUUUCCUCUUUGCUUUUACAGGUAAUACGACAUGAUAGUCUGGUACAACUCUUGCUUCUUGGCAGGAUGUUACAGGGGACCACCAAACUUCCAUGGAAAUUUUCACACCAUCCAGCUGCUGCUGGUACGUUUUUCACAGUCAUGCUACUUGGACUUAAAUUCUGCACAUGCCAGUAUGAAGGGAGCCUACAAAAUGUUAGAUUGGGAAUUCAGCUGCUGGAAGAUGGGAUUUAUCGGUAUUACAUUCAACUCGUCUUUCUUCAUAAUAUAACAUUUUUUAUUUUAAUUUAAAUUCUGAAGUGGAAAACUGAAACCAACUGCAGGGCUGCAUUAGGCUGGUUUGCUUACGAACCUGAAUGGUUUGAACAUGAUCAUGGAAAUUUUGCACACAUCGAGGCUCAAUUUGUUAAUUCAUUUGUUCACUAUCUCCAAAACGAUCCAAAAGCACUGGGUGGGGAAUAUGGGGGAUCUUUUCUUGACAUGGUAAGACACCGAUAUUGCUAUUUAUCAUGUUGUGUUUUAUGAUUUUUUUUAUUAACAAUGAACAAUCUCAUAUAAUAAGAGGCGUUGCUUCCAAGAAUAGACUUGAUGAGUGGUAGCCUUCCACCAAGGGAGGUGAUAUAUCCACUCCAUUUUUUAAUACUUCCACUUAAAAUUUAAGAGUUGUGACUUUUUUGCCCUUAUUUUGUUUUUGAAAAGAGAGAAAGAUCCCAAACGUCUGGAACCGUUUCUCCUUUUGACGCCAACUCUUCUUCCCAAGCGACCAACGCUGAUUCCUCGUUGCCGUUCAAGAAUUGUCAGCCGCCAUCGCUUCUUCCAAGUCGCCGGUCGCCGGUUGCCAUUGAUUCUUCAACAGUAAGUAAGCUUUUUGGUACUAAUUCUUGUUAUACAUGAGUUUUUGUUUAAUGGAUUUGGGUUCCUAUCCAGCUAUAGUUUUCAACUUGGAAUCCUCUUCCUUUAGAAAGCAACUGUAAUGCAAACAAUUGUUUUGGUUAAAUCUUUCAGAGAGUUUUCUUCCUCAUGUGGUCAAGAUAUUUACCAUUUUCUAGUUCCCAUGUAACUCUUUUUUUGCUUCUUCAAAUUCUUUCUAUUACAAUGGCAUCGAGUCAGUAAAAGUACAAAACAAAUCAAACAAAAUUCAUAAAGUGUUUAAAAUAAGUAGCCCCUUUCCUGUUCAGAGUAUAUGUUUGUUUCCCUGCUUAUAAAAUUGAUUCAACAAAUUAAAAUAAUGUAAAUGGACUAAACAGGGGAUCCUAUUGAUGAGGGAUUUAAAAAAAAAAAAGAUGAUGGAUGUUACAGCCAUCACUACUUUAUUUAUAUAGUACAUAAUCUACAUUUUUAUUUCUUUCUUCUAGAGCUAACGUGAUCAUCAAAUUUUAUUAUAGUUCGAUAACUUAUUGCCGGAUCUCAUUAUUGUAUAACUUGAAUUUUAUUUGAUUGACAAUAAUGCUUCCCUAACGGCUAACAGGGAGGCUAAAAGGGCUGUUAGAUUUCCUAAAAGUUGAUCCAUUUUUUAUUCAAUGCAGAAUAUAGAGGAGGAAGUUAACUCUUUAAAAGAUAAUGUUUUAAAAAUUGAAGUGGCUGCCUUAGUAAUAGGAAAAAUAUAUGAUGAACAAUACGAGAAGGGAAAAGAACUACGAGCUCGAUUCCAAGUUGCAGAAGAAGUCUGCCAACAAGCUUAUACACAUUUAUAUAGUUUGAAGAAACGUUUAUAUGACAAGGUUUGUUGUAAAAUUUUGCAUCUUACACAAAACGAAACUUAAUAUAAUAAUUAUAAUUUUCUAUUGAUUGACUGAACAAAANCAUAGAAGAUGCGACUGCAGCAAGGAAUUUUGCAUCUGGUGGAGAUAAAGUUGCACUUCAUCAACCGUGUGUUAAUCAGGUUCGUUAUCUUAUCUUCUCGAUAUUCUAAUUUCAUAUUUAGUAUGUGGUUUGUGGCUAACAUGUUUUUUAAUUACUUUAGGUGGAAAAAAUAAGGGAAGAAUCGAACUCAAAUGAAGAAUUUAGGAAAGACAAUAUUAGUAGGACCACACCAAGUACACUUGUUGAAACUUCGCCUGAGAGUCAUAUGAAUGAAAGAAUUGAUGUGAAAGCAGAUCCUAUCUCAAGUAAAUUGGAAUCCAUUUCAGUAGUUUCAAAAGUUGAACAAGGAAAGAAGACAGCUUCGUGUGUGAGUGAUAUCUGCGAAAGAAUUGCUACGAAUUCAGUUUCUAUCUCAAGUGAAACCGAAUCUGUUUCAUUGGUUUCAUUGGUUUCAAAAGUAGAACAANGAAAAAGAACCUCUAGAUGCCCUUGAAGGGAAAACAGCUUUUCAACACGUAAGAAAGUGGACAUGAAAAGUUAAUCUUUUUGAGAAAGACUUUGUCUUUAUUCCUGUAAUUUACAAGUAAGUUGGAAAACAGUUUGCUUUCUAUACAUUUCAUUUGAACAGUUGACAAUUAUUUCUGUUGUUUCACAGCUAUCAUUGGAGUCUUAUUGUGAUGUGUCAUCUUGGGGAAGUUGCGAAAUACAAGGGUAUAGCUGUCAUUUCUCUUUGACAUCUUCAAGUAUUUUAUGAGGCAUGGUUAUCACUUUUUUCUAAUGUUAUAAUCUGGUUUAUAGAUGAAGAAGAUGUAACUGAGUUGAUUAAAGUGCCAUGUGUUCUGCAUAUGGAUCCUAUCAGAGGUAGUCAUACUGGUUUGAAAGGUCUUAUGCAAAGGUAACAUUUUUUUUAUUAUAUAAACAUUUUAUUUUAUUUUUAAAUUAUAAACCUUUAAAUAUGCCAUUCUAGCUAUCUGAAAGAAGAGUGGAAAGGGAGGCAGCAGGAGGCAUCUAAAGAUAUAUCAUCAAGAUUCGAUAAUCUACGCUUUAUUUCACUUGAGGUAUCAUCUGGAUAAAUAAUGUUUCAAAAUUAUUUGAGAAAUGGAAAGGAAAAAUAUACGAGGGCAAAAUUGUGAAUUUGUAUUAAAUUCUAAAAUCUGAAUUUUGUGUUGUUUUUGCAGUUACCACAGCAGCCGAAUUCAUUCGACUGUGGUUUAUUCUUGCUCCAUUAUGUAGAACUUUUCUUGGAGCAAGCCCCGAUUAAUUUUAAUCCAUUUAAAAUCACAAAAAGUGUCCACUUUGUAAGGACAUGGACCAUUUAUGUAAAAAUUAAUAAUAUAAGUGAGCUGUUGUUUGUGAAUAUGUGACUCAGCUAAAUACGGAUUGGUUUCCACCUGCUGAUGCAUCCUUGAAAAGGGUGGUUAUUCAGAGACUGGUGUAUGAUCUCCUACAACAACCUUAUGAUGAAGCUGAAGCCUUUUACAAAGUAUUUUCCCAAGUAAGUGCAAAAAGAUUUCUUUUGGCAAAGUUUCAUAUCAAUUUUGAUCCUUGUGUUAACUUUAACAACCCUUUUGUUAAAUUAAUAAAUAUGACUGUUUUGCCCUUAUCCGAUUCUUGGAUUUUAUAUUUCAUUGGAUGCUUGCAGCUUUGACCAGCCUUUUGAAGAAGUUAUAUAUCCAAAAGAGGAUGUUGAUGCUGUUUCCAUUAGUAAGAGAGACGUUGAUUUGCUGCUACCAGACACAUUUGUCAAUGACACCAUCAUUGACUUUUAUGUCAAGUAUGUUUAUCUUACUUAUUUGAUGGAAUAAAUUACUUUCAUAACAAUCCAUAUUACAAAUAUAAAAACUUAAAUGUACAUCAGACUAGAAGUCUUUACAUAUGAAAUUGUAUUCUAAAUUUCUAACUGAUGACAGAUACUUGAAGAACAAAAUCAGCAAAAUGAAGCCACUUGAUUUAAAUCUUGCAGCAUUAUCAGCAAAAUGCAAUAAAGACUUGGAGUUGAAUUUGGCUAAGUCAUUAUUGAGUGAGAUGGGCCAAUGUACAACUGCUUAUCCAUAUAAUCAACUGUUUGGAGCAUUAGUCUUAAAGAAUUAUGAAAGGAAAGAUGCAACUUUACUUAGUUGGAAUUUGAUGUACAUAGUAGAUUAGAUGCAAAUUUAUAUAUUGUAAGAAAUAGAAUUGUAUGACAUUAGAUUUAUGCAAUGUAUUCUAUUUUUUGUAUAUGGUAUUUUAUUUGCUAUUAUGAAACAUUAAAUACAAAUUUAAUUUGAAAAUAAGUAAAUAUAUAAAUAAUAUAUUUUUUUAAACAUUUAAAAUUAUGAUACGCAAAAAUGUGUGUCAUAUUCAUUUAUGACAUGGCCUUUCUUGACAGGGGCUUUCUUGAUACGCAUUGCGUGUCAUUAACACGCGCGUCGUAAGGUUACGACACACGAAUGCGUGUCGUCUUCCUUUAUGACAGGGCCUUCCUUGAUACGCAUUGCGUGUCGUAACCGCGCGUCGUAAAUGCGCGCCGUAAAUGCGCGUCGUCUAUAGAUGACGCGCAAAAGCGCGUCGUCUCUCUUUAUGACAGGGCCUUCCUUGACGCGCAUUUGCGCGUCGUCUGAGCGUUUUACGACGCGCAAUGAGCGUCGUAAAAGGCCUUUUUUCUAGUGCAUAGCGUACAACACAGAUGUAAUUUUUAUACCUAAAUUCGUAUCGUCCUUUCUGAGCGAAAUUAAGAAGAUGAAUGUUAGUGUAUUAAUUGAUGUAAUUGAUCGGAAUUUGGUUGGGUGCAAUGGAGAUUUGGAUUUACAAGGUUUUCAUUUCAAAUAGAUGUUUAGUACUCACGAUUUGAGUCUCCUUCCCAUAUUAUGGUAUCGAUAAAGAAAAGUUUUGGUUCAUGACUUCAAAGCUCCUAUAAAGACCAUACAACAAAGACAUAUAUAAUACACCUACUGCAAAAACAAACAACCUGGAAAAAUAAGAAAAUAAAUAGCUAGCAUUUCAUCAUUAUAAAAGCAUUAGGUUUGAAGUUUUGACUUACCGCUGAAAGUAGAAUUUCUUUCUAAAUGUUAUGGCCGAAUAGACUUCAUUAUUGUUAACACACCAUAUCUCGGUGGUUAUUGAAGCCAACAGAUAUCCAAUUGAAAUCCUCUGUAUAGUUAUAUUAUAAUUGAUACAGAUGAUUGCCAUUGACAUCCAAAGAAAGUUCUUGCAUAGAUAUCUUUGAAGCUGUAAAAUCGGGUUAUAGUCUUAUAGAUAAGUACUAAACUUAGUUUAUUUGUUAUUUUUCCUUAUUUUGUUUAAACUUUUCUGCAUACAAUGAACUUCUUUCUUUGUCCAAGAUUAGAUGUCACUUUCCAUUAGUUGAAAACUUAUUAUUAAGUAAAUCAUUCCAAUCUUACACCAUUAAAUUGUGUAACGACCAUAAAAUUUCAACAAUUUUAACUUUUCAAAAACAACCCAUUUUCUUAAUGUUAUUACAAAAAGAUUUUCAAUACAAUUAUUAUCAGAGUCUUCCCAGAAUCACAUCAUAAAACAUAAUCAUGAGGAGCGGUACGAUCACGCCUUUGUCUUGCCACGGUCUCCUGAAGAACCUGAAAAACAUUAAACCACAACUGUAAGCCCGAAAGCUUAGUGAGAUACCCCCAAAAUACCAACCACAUAUACCAUACACGCAUAACAUGCCAUAUCAUAUCAUAACACAAAACAACCAUGCACUGCUGGUCUACUGUGUGACUGGUCCGCCAACAAUCCACCUGAUCCACCCUCCGAGUCUAGCCAUAUACAUCAAGUCUGCAGUGUGAUUGGUCUGUGCCGCACCGGGCCUUCAGUCGGCCUGGUCCACUCUCCGAGCCUCGGCACAUCUGGUCCGCCCUCUUGGGGCCUACAGCCUAUCCGGACCGCUCGCUGGGCCUUUGGGACAACCGGUCCGCCCUGGGUAUGUUGGCCUACACCACAAAGCAGGACCCACUUCAACCCAACCCCAGUCCAACAACCAUGAGCACAUAAACAUACAAUCAUAUAACAAUUCACAGUCAACAAGCCAAUCUAGCAGAUCACAUAACAUAUCAUCAUCCUAACCAGGAUACUGACCUAACCGGUCACUAGCAUAGCAUCAUCCUAAAUGCCAGGAUACCGACCUUAACCAGGUCUCUAACAUAUACCAUCCUAGCUACCAGGAUGCAAACAUAUCAAAGUAAUAACAUAACAACAAAUACCCGGAUCUCAAUCCGAUAAAGGGCCGGCCUUGGUGCCUUAGACCCUGUUGAUAUAGUGAGGAUAACUCACCUCGCAACUGCCGAAACUCUGAACUGAAGAAGCAGAUUCCCAAAUCAUCGCCUCACCGAAAAUCCCGAACUAUCCGAAGAAGCAAAAUAACCAUUAGACCAAGCACAAUAUCCUUCCAAGGGUAAAUUGACCAAUUUACCCUUAACUCAAUCCGGCCCAUGACUAAGCCCCACAAUCAAAUUAUGAAAGGCCCAACACUAGAUAAGCUCUCAAUCCCACUAAUGGCCCAAAGACCAAAAGUCCGAAGCAAAGCCCAAUAUUGGCCCAAUUUACUAAAUUGGGCCCACCUCACCAAAUGGGCCUAGACCCAUGGUCCAUAAUAAUUAAUGAGUCCAUAAUACUCCAUCCAUAAUGUCCAGUCACGGCCCAAAAUCCAGCAGCCCAAUAACAGCCCAAUCCCUAAGGCCCAAAAUGAAAACCCAACAGAGGGAGUACGCUGGGCGUACCCCUCUUGGUACGCCGGGCGUAACUCAAAGUUCACGGGUUGGAAUCAGGACUCAUAAUCACUACGCGGGACAUAAUCUCGCUGACUUCAAAUCGUCAUGGGUUCUUAAUGGCUUAAUCUCUUAAGUCCAAACUUCAGAUCCAUAGGCCAAAUAUACCUAGGAUUCAUAAAGUCUUAAACUUUAUUGCUUGGGACGUCUAUAAAGCUCUUAACCCAAGGUCUUAAUCCAUUAAGACCUACUUAUCUCACACAUGGAACAACCACAACCCUUGGGACCUCAUUUUUCUCACUCAAGACCUCUCCUAAGGUCUGAAAGGACAGAUAAUCUCGACCAACUCGAAACAUGCAUCAAGAUGAGAACUUUUGGGACAAGAAUGGUGUCAAUACCUCACAACACAUAGAUCUAUUCAAUAUAAAUGUCAAGCAAGAAGCUUUAUACCUCAGAUAGGCUCCAAAGGAUGCUGUCUUUCCAGAUCUAUAAGUUCCAGCUGCUCCACUCCUUCUUUGACAACUUCUCCUUUCUUCCUUUAUGCUUUCCUUUGCUAAUCUAAGCUUUCCAAGACCAAACACACCCAACAAUGGAGGUAAGACGGAUAUCUAGGGUUUCUGAGGGUAAGAGAGUGUCUAUGGAGGCUGAGGAGGGAACCAUUAUGUUCCUUAUAUAGUGGUUGCCCUUAAAAUUAGGGUUUUAAGACUCUGAGAGUACGCUGGGCGUACUCGACCUUGCACCCGCGUCCAUUUACUCAUUACGUUGGGCGUACCCAUGCGUGUCUCAUGCAUGCAUGGCUUACAUUGUCAACCUUUUCCAUUAAGGGCCAUAAAUGCCAAUAUCUUCAAAGUGUCAUAACUCCCUCAUUCUAGCUCCGUUUUUGAUGGACUUUAUAUCCACGAAGAGGUGGCGAGAAUCCCUACGCUUCUAGAUACAUACACUGGUCCGAAACCUUCUCAGAUGAAACCCAUUUCCCAUAAAAGGACCAAAAUACCCUUCCUCUUAAAUCCCGGGGACUCAUAAAUAAAUACUUUAAGAACGGGGCGUUACAAAUUGACCACAACUCCCCUCCCCUCCCCCUAUUUACACAACCCACCAUCUUUUAUAUAUAAAAUCUUCACAAACACUUGUUUUUUUAGAUCAUUGUUAAUUUGAUGUAAGGUUUGGUAGCAUUGAGCGCAUAGGAAUAAGCUGAAUAUGAAUUAUUAUCGAGCCAUAUUGAAUCAAAUCACUGCAUGACAAGACAAGAAAGAGAAAUUAUAUGUGUAGAAUGAAAAAGUAAAAUGGAACUAAGAUUCUAAUUCUAUUCUAAGGGGCUUUUGGUCCAUGCGGUUAUGAUGAAUUUACAUUCAAAAUCUAUACAAGUUCUUUGUAUUUUAAAACUAAAAAUAAAAAAGAAUAGGAUUUUAAUCCCAAAUUGCAGUUGACGAUAGUCUUUCCUGGUGAUCGUUUUAGUUGUAGAGUUAGUGAAGGCAAUAAGGUCUUUUCCAAUUAAGUGAGUAGAUAGGUCUGUAUUUAGUUUGCUUCUUGCCAUUGGGAUUUUAAGAGUUAGCCUUCCUUUAUAUAAUAUUACUCUGACUCUGACCUAGUUCCAAGUUAAGUUAAUUUUAAUUUUCUUUUUUUAGUUAGCUCAAACACAUGAUGUUGACAUCAAUAUUGAGGAGGACAUGGAUACUAGUGCUCCUUAAUUAUGUGGCAUGUUAGUUGCUUAUGUGAUAGGUAGUAUUCUACUGAUUAUGUGGUAUGUUAAUUGAUUAUGUGGUACGUGAUAUGCUAGUGGUCUUUGUGAUACUGGCAUGGAAGACCUCGGGGGGGUUCCCGGGGCACUAGGGUGUAAGACCUUGGAGGGUUUCCAUGGCAUCCUUAUUUAAGACCACAAGGGGGUUCCCAUGGCAUUAGGCUAAGACCAUGUAGGGGUUCCCAUGUCAUCUGGUGUAAGACCCUGGAGGGUUUCCAGGGCAUCCUUAUGUGUUUGCAUGCUUAACUUAUAUGUUGGUAUGUAUGGCUUGAUUGGUAGUUAGUGAUGACCAUGUGGGGGUUCCCAUGGCAGUGGGCUAAGACCCUGGAGGGUUUCCAGGGUACCCGAUGUAAGACCUUGGAAGGUUUCCAUGGCUUCCCUAUAUGUUUAUAUGCAUGGCUGGUGUAGUUUAUAUGAUUUACAUGAGUAUGUGAAUAAGACCUUGGAGGGUUUCGAUGACAUCUUUAUAUGUGUAUAUGCAUGCUUAUGUGAUUGUUACAAUUUAUGUAGUUGUUGUAGCUGAUGUGGAUUAUGUGGUUAUGUGGAUUGUAUGGGGUAUGCACGGAGGAACUCACUAAGCUUCACGCUUAUAUUUUUGUUUAUGGUUUCAGGUAUCAUCGAUUUGGAAAAGAAGGUCUUGGAUCGAUCGCAGUGCACACACCUAUGAUUUCCGCAAUGAAUGAUUUUGGGAUAAACUCUGAUAAAUAUUUUACUUAAUGAUGAUUUGAAAUGUUUGAAAUAAAUGGUAUCAAUGUUUUAGCUAUAUUUUAAAAUGAAAUUUUUAUCAUUGAUUUUUGGAUCAUUACAAAUCCAAAUUGUCCAAUUGGACAAUUUGGUUUCAUCCAAAAGUUUAAAAAAUGUAUGAAAAUUUAUAAAAAAAAAUGUAUGAAAAUUUAUAAAAAAAAAAUGUAUGGAAAUUUAAAAAUGUUGUAAAAGAAAGUUUAGAAAAUAUUUUAUGAAAUUUUAGAAAAAAAAAACGUUGUAUGAAAAUAUUAAAAAAAAUUUUAAAAAUUUAAAACAUUUAAAAAUUUAUGAAUUUUUUUUUUUAAUUUGUAUGAAAGUAUAAAAAAAAGUUCAAUUUUUUUUUCACAUUUAACAACUUUUUUUUCCGUAUAAAUUUGACUAUUUAACUUAUUAAAUGUGCUCAUAUGUUAUCAUUGUGACCUACGAUAACAGGUGAGAAUAGUAAUAUGUAAACACUCGCAAGUCAUUUUCUAUAAUAUUUUAUAUUUUCAGUGGAAAAAUCAAACUAUUAUAUCAUUUAGAAAAAAUUGCAAAAAUGGUCUAUGUGGUAUGUAUUUUUUGGGGUUUCAGUCCAAACCUGAACUUUUUUGGAUUCAUGGUUUUGGCCUAGUUUGUACGUAGAAUUGGUCCCCCAACUUAACUUCCGUUAAGUUGUUGUUGUUAACCCCUCAUAUGCGAGGGUAUAUUUGUCUUCCUGUUGUUAUGGAAUCAAAUCUCGCCUCAACAAGAAAAAAAAAGGAGUACGUAUGUAUAUGUUCUUGACUGUGUUUUGGGUUGAGAGAGAGAGAGAGAGAGCUUUUUUAUUUUUUAAUUAUUAAAAUAAAUAAAUAUGUAUUAAUUUUUCUAAAAAAAAUGGGGAUAUAUUUUUUAGGUGCAAAAAUAGUCAUUUAUAAGUGAAAAGACAAAUAUACCUUCGUACAUGAGGGGUUAACAACAACAACUUAACGGAAGUUAAGUCGGGGGACCAAUUCUACGUACAAACUAGGCCAAAAUGACCAUAAAUCUAAAAAAAGUCUAGAACUAAAACCCCAAAAAAAUACAGGAGCAUUUUUGCAAUUUUGUCUAUCAUUUAUAAUGUGUUUUUCAAACCAUUAUCGCAUAAUAAAAAAAAAUAAUAAUAAAAAAAAAAAAAAAAAAAGCCGUCCUUUUGAUUCGGUACAACAUAAAAUAAUAAAAGUAAAAAAGCAACAACUUUAAUCAUAUAUGAGAUCUAAAUAAAGAAUCAAAUCUGCAACUUUAAUGAUAUAUGAGAUGAUAUAAACUAAACCCUGGUAAUUAAACUCAAAAAUCUUGACUGGUGUCUUCUUCUCGACCUUGGCAAUACAAUGUCGUCGUCAAGACCUGUACCUGUAGAAAUGACCCCCAAUGAAAUCGAAAAGAGGCUUCAACACUGUCCACCAGAUCUUAUGAUACGAUCGAUUACUGAUAGGUGAAUCAGCAGUGAAGAAAUAUGAAUUUUUAGACAGCAAGUGGAUUGGAAAACCUGGUAUCAAGUUAGAACGUUAUACGGAUGAAAAGAUUGCUGCACUGGGCAGGGUAGUCAUACCCAUGUUAUCUUCAGGUUUUAGCUUAGAAGCAGAAAGAUGUGCAUCGAUUUUUGUUCUGGCUUAUCAUCUUAAAGCACCAGGUAGCAGAUUCAGAUCUUUUAUCUUCAACUCCGAUGAAAGUCUACAAGUGACGUCAGAUCAACAGUACAACAACGACCCUUCAGAGAUGGUGAAGGCCGAAAGUCACGUGAUCGCAGCAACAAGUGAUCCAACAAGAGAGGCAGCGGUGUACUCAUACGUUGCUGCGUCAUUGUUUCGACUGUUCACGAAACCAGCAUCUUAUUACAUUAAGACAUGGUCUCAUGUUCUGAAUGGCUUUUCCAAAUUCUACGCUGAACCAAUGAGGGUGAUGCUUCCUGUUCCUACUGAGGCAGCAAUGGUGGUUCUCUCACGAAAAAUCAAAAGUAACCUUGUAUCGUUUUCUUUAUAUGAGUAAUUCAGAUGAAAACCACAAGGAGUUCAAGACGUUUUUAUAUGAUAACGUCCUUGAGAAUACUGGUAUGCACAUUCUCAGUAUCACUGAACAACUGGCCGAUGUUUUGAACUGCUCUCUGGGCUCAGUCUUCAUUACAAUGGAAGGAGGAAAGACGAUGAGAAGUUUGCUUCAUGUACUGAAAAUGAUGACUUCAAAUGAUGAGAAUCAUAAAAGGAAUAUGUGGAGGUAUGGGAGGAUAUUCGAUGAAGCAUUCUUGGUUGAUCUUCAAACGAAAUCAUGUGUAGAUGUGGUGUAUGUAUUAGCAGAGGCACUCAGAUCUGAAUCACCAGAAAAACACAGUGGGAUUAUGCAGAUUUCUCAAUUUGCAGACACUAGCGUGGAGAAAAAAAGGAAAUUUGCUAAAUCAGCUCAACUGCUUUUGACCCACCUCAAAAAUCAAAACCCUUCCAGCAUCUAGCUGACUAGCUCUGAAAUUUCCAGUUUUUAAGAUAUUGUGCUAUAUUCAUCUCUACUUAGUAAUAUUUGUUCUCUUUUGUUGAUGUUGCUUUCGUUUGCAUGAUGUACCUAUUUAUAUAUGUGGAUAAACUCUUAUACAAAAUUCCCCUAUUUGUGUCAUAGGACAAAUCUUUAUUCUCUUUUUUCCUUCCUACAUAUGUAUUGUAUAUGAAUGACAUUGCAAAAGUUGAUUAUAUUUUCCAAAGUCGAUGCUUUAAUAGGAAGAAACAAAAACAAGAUACCAUAUUACCAAUGGAAAAUACACUUCUCUUUUAUGCAUAUAACCAUUGAUCGAAAGACUAUCAGCCACGAAUUUCUGAAAUGAAGAAAUCAUGCAGAUCAUCGUCAUUAGCUGAAACAUUAUAAUCAUCCUCAUAGUUGGGUGUUGAUGGCAAGCUUUUAUUAAUAAUGCCGCAUGCAAUAUUGGCCCAUGAAGAAUUAUUUUGUUCCUGAUUGCUUGGUAUCCUUCCUCUGCUAAUCUGCUAUUACAUCAUUCAAUGGUUAUAUGAACUAACGAAUAAAAACAACUAAAAGAACGUUUAAAAGCUAAAAGAACCUACACUACUAGAAAACAGAGCAUAGCGACAAAAUUUGGUGACUGGAAAAAAUCCGUCAGAAAAGAUCACGGGUUUCCCAAUUUCUGACAUAAUAGUUAUUAGGAUAUUAGCGACGUUAAUAAAAUAUGUCGGUAAUCCAUUACAACUUCCGACGGUUUACCGACGGAAAUCAACAAUUCUAAGGGCAAUCCGGUGAAAUCAACUAAGGGGUAUUUCCGAGGGAUGGACCGUGCUAACGACUUAACCUAAAUCAAGCUCCCCAGAACUGUAAACGAAGGCGUCAACAAUCUGACUGGAGUUCUUUGAGUAGUGCUUAAUUCUCUUUGCAUAGCUUACAACACAAGUGCAAUUUUUAUACCUAAAUUUGUAUCGUCCUUUCUGAGCGAAAUUAAGAAGAUGAAUGGUAGUGUAAUUGAUGUAAUCGAUCGGAAUUGGGUUGGGUGCAAGGGAGAUUUGGAUUUACAAGGUUUUUGUUUCAAAUAGAUGUUUAGGGUGCGUUUAGUUGCGGAAGAAUUGGCCGUUUUCCGGAAAAAAUUUCCAAAAAAAAAUAAGAAUUUUGAAAACGCGUUUAGUUCGUCUAUUUUUCUAAAAUUUUCACGGAAAAUGAAAAUUUCCCGUUUUCUAAAAUUAUAAAGAAGUUGAAUUUUUUUAGAAAAUCAAUAAUUAUUGUUUUCCACAUUUUCCUAAUUCCAAAAUAUUUCUAAAAUAUAUACACACACUUACUCCAACCUCUACCUAACUCCACCUUAACACCCNNNNNNNNNNNNNNNNNNNNNNNNNNNNNNNNNNNNNNNNNNNNNNNNNNNNNNNNNNNNNNNNNNNNNNNNNNNNNNNNNNNNNNNNNNNNNNNNNNNNACACACACGCACACACACACACAAACACCCACCCACACACACACAAACACCCACACCCAUAACACACACACACACCCACAAACACACACCACCCAACACCACUACUACAAUCACCGACCUACCAUCACCAUCACCACCACUACCCCAUCACCAGCAUCACCACUGUCGUUGCAAUCACCAGUUCACCACCACCACCUGCCUGUAGCUACCACCGCCACCGUUUUCUAAAAAUAAAAACCGAUAGAAAUAUACACAUCUAAACGCGUUUUCUAAUUUUCUAAAACUGAAAAUAAAAAAUGAAUAAGUUUUAACUAAACGCAUUUUCUAAAUUUUUCAAUGAAACUAAAACGAAAAACAAAAACUGAAAAGGAAAAAUGAAAAUUGUUUUUCUGUAACUAAACACAAGCUUAGUACUCACGAUUUGAGUCUCCU